CAUCGCCUCUUGAUUAAACAUAAGAGGUCCAGCCUGCCCAGUGACAUAGUUUAACGGCCGCGGUACCCUAACCGUGCGAAGGUAGCAUAAUCACUUGUUCUUUAAAUAGGGACUCGUAUCAACGGCAUCACGAGGGCUAUACUGUCUCCUUUCUCCAAUCAAUGAAACUGAUCUCCCCGUGAAGAAGCGGGGAUUAACCUAUAAGACGAGAAGACCCCAUGGAGCUUCAAACUCAACAUACACCUCUACGCACUUAAACCACUUUAGCCCAAGAGACCUCUAUGUUAGUUUUGGGUUGGGGGGACCGCGGAGUAAAAAUUAACCUCCACGACAAACGGGCUUUAUGCCCUUAUCCACGAACCACAGCUCUAAGAAUCAAUAAACUGAUGUUUAUGACCCGAUUAUUCGAUCAACGAACCAAGUUACCCUGGGGAUAACAGCGCAAUCUACUUCAAGAGCCCCUAUCGACAAGUAGGUUUACGACCUCGAUGUUGGAUCAGGGUAUCCUAGUGGUGCAGCCGCUACUAAUGGUUCGUUUGUUCAACGAUUAAAACCCUACGUGAUCU
rnacentral:rRNA from 1 species